rnacentral:rRNA from 1 species
UACGGGGGGAGCAAGCGUUGUUCGGAUUUACUGGGCGUAAAGGGCGCGUAGGCGGCCACCGCAAGUCAAUUGUGAAAUCUCCGGGCUUAACUCGGAAAGGUCAACCGAUACUGUCGGGCUAGAGUCCGGAAGAGGCGAGUGGAAUUCCUGGUGUAGCGGUGAAAUGCGCAGAUAUCAGGAAGAACACCCGUGGCUAAGGCGGCUCUCUAGUACGGUACUGACGCUGAGACGCGAAAGCGUGGGGAGCGAACAGG